UAAGUUCCUGGUAAAAUCGGGCAGCUCAACUGUCCGCGUGCUAGGAAUACUGCGUUACUAGAGGGCGGGAGAGGUCUGAGGUACUGCGGGGGUAGGGGUGAAAUCUUAUAAUCCUCGCAGGACCACCAGUGGCGAAAGCGUCAGACUGGAACGCGCCUGACGGUGAGGGACGAAAGCCAGGGGAGCGAACCGGAUUAGAUACCCGGGUAGUCCUGGCCGUAAACGAUGCGCACUAGGUGAUGGUGCGGCUAUGAGCCGCAUCAGUGUCGUAGGGAAACCGUUAAGUGUGCCGCCUGGGAAGUACGGUUGCAAGGCUUAAACUUAAAGGAAUUGGCGGGGGAGCACCACAAGGGGUGAAGCCUGCGGUUCAAUUGGACUCAACGCCGGGCAACUUACCAGGGGAGACAGCAGAAUGAGGGUCAGGUUGACGACCUUACCUGACAAGCUGAGAGGAGGUGCAUGGCCGUCGCCAGUUCGUGCUGUGAGGUAUCCUGUUAAGUCAGGCAACGAACGAGACCCGCACCUUUAUUUGCCAGCAAGAAGUCACGACUUCGUUGGGAACGAUAAAGGGACCGCCGUCGAUAAGACG
rnacentral:rRNA from 1 species